rnacentral:misc_RNA from 1 species
UCGUAAUGAAGACAUGAUUCGCAGUGCUCUUCGAGCAAUUGCUACCUUGAAUCGCAUAAGUGGAAGCGAUUGCAGCCAUAAAUUCAAAAGCCUUACGAAUGAAAUUUCAAAAUCUCCUGCACUCUGGGGCAAGUACUAUUCCAUCCGUAAUGAGUGAUGGGCAUGUUGAUUUUGAUACGGAGUGGUGGUAGUGAAAUUUUCGGUACGAGGGAACGAGAAAUAUUGAUGCUUUGAUCUUGUGCUGUACAAGGUCCUCUGGGAGGAAAAGAAACUGGAGAGACUAUAGCGCCAGUUACAGGUGUAUAAUGGGAGGGAUUAAGAAUGGUAAAUUUUUGGUUGAAGAAGCUCAUAAGGAUUACAUGACCAUUUCUUGUCAUGCAAAUGCAAAUGCAGGCCUUGGAUUUUUUUAUGUAUAGGAUCAAAUGCUGUCUCUUAUCAUUGCUAUUGUUAAAGAGUUGAAAAAUGCAAGUGUUGCUUUUUCCAUUUGAGAGAAAAGGCUGAUUUACUACACAAGUGGUUGGUACUGCUUAAUUCAUAUGGAUGGUAGAAUCAGACUGCAAUUUUUGUAAUUGAGACUAAUGUUUGGUUCACAUUUUUAAUGUAGCUAUCUGUUAAUAGACAUUUAAAUAGGUAAAUCAAAG